GAGGGUAUAGCUCAGUGGUAGAGCGCAUACUUAGCAUGCACAAGGUCCUGGGUUCAAUCCCCAGUACCUCCA
rnacentral:tRNA from 1 species